rnacentral:rRNA from 1 species
GAUGAACGCUGGCGGCGUGCUUAACACAUGCAAGUCGAACGGAAAGGCCAGUGCUUUCCCUGGUACUCGAGUGGCGAACGGGUGAGUAACACGUGGGUGAUCUGCCCUGCACUUCGGGAUAAGCCUGGGAAACUGGGUCUAAUACCGGAUAGGACAAUGGUUUGGAUGCCGUUGUGGAAAGUUUUUUCGGUGUGGGAUGAGCUCGCGGCCUAUCAGCUUGUUGGUGGGGUAAUGGCCUACCAAGGCGUCGACGGGUAGCCGGCCUGAGAGGGGGUAGGGCGACAUUGGGGGGGAGAUACGGCCCCGAUUACUACGGGGGGCAGCAGUGGUGAAUAUUGUACAAUGGGGGCAAGACUGAUGGAGCGAGGCCGCGUGGGUGAUGAAGGCCUUCGGGUGGUAUACACCUUGCGCUAGGGAGGAAGCGAAUUUGUGACGGUACCUGGAGAAGAAGCACCGGCUAACUACGUG